UACGUAGGGGCAAGCGUUGUCCGGAAUCAUUGGGCGUAAAGCGCGCGUAGGCGGCCCGGUAAGUCCGCUGUGAAAGUCAAAGGCUCAACCUUUGAAUGUCAGCGGAUACUGCCGGGCUAGAGUCCGGAAGAGGCGAGUGGAACUCCUGGUGUAGCGGUGGAAUGCGCAGAUAUCAGGAAGAACACCAACGGCGAAGGCAGCUCGCUGGGACGGAACUGACGCUGAGGCGCGAAAGCGUGGGGAGCAAACAGG
rnacentral:rRNA from 1 species